rnacentral:rRNA from 1 species
AGUGAUCGCUGGCGGCGUGCUUAACACAUGCAAGUCGAGCGAAUUUUGGCAGCGUAUCGCCAAAGUUAGCGGCAGACGGGUGAGUAAUACUUGGGUAAUCUACCCUUGAGAGGGAAACAACCGGCCGAAAGGCUGGCUAAUGUCCCAUAAGACCACAGGAGCGCAUGCUCCAGGGGUCAAAGGUCCGCAAGGGCCGCUUGAGGAGGAACCCAAGUCCUAUCANGGUAGUUGGUGAGGUAACGGCUCACCAAGCCUUUGACGGGUAGCCGGCCUGAAAGGGUGAUCGGCCACACUGGCACUGAGACACGGGCCAGACUCCUACGGGAGGCAGCAGUGGGGAAUUUUGGACAAU